rnacentral:rRNA from 1 species
UAGGGAAUCUUCGGCAAUGGACGAAAGUCUGACCGAGCAACGCCGCGUGAGUGAAGAAGGUUUUCGGAUCGUAAAACUCUGUUGUUAGAGAAGAACAAGGACGUUAGUAACUGAACGUCCCCUGACGGUAUCUAACCAGAAAGCCACGGCUAACUACGUGCCAGCAGCCGCGGUAAUACGUAGGUGGCAAGCGUUGUCCGGAUUUAUUGGGCGUAAAGCGAGCGCAGGCGGUUUCUUAAGUCUGAUGUGAAAGCCCCCGGCGCAACCGGGGAGGGUCAUUGGAAACUGGGAGACUUGAGUGCAGAAGAGGAGAGUGGAAUUCCAGGUGUAGCGGUGAAAGGCGUAGAGAUCUGGAGGAAUACCGGUGGCGAAGGCGGCCCCCUGGACGAAGACUGACGCUCAGGUGCGAAAGCGUGGGGAGCAAACAGG